rnacentral:sRNA from 1 species
AUGGUUGGCAUUGGGCCCCAGGGGCUUCUGUCCCUAGAGCCCAUGGCCUCCACUGCCUGCCUGCCCACACAAAGACCAUGUGCAAUGUGAUCAGAAGCUGAGAGGACCAGGCCAGAGGGCUGUGGGAGUUCAGAGGUGGAGGGACUUUUCAGGCUGAAGCCCAAGUACCAGGUCCGCUGGAAGAUCAUCGAGAGCUAUGAGGGCAACAGUUACACUUUCAUCGACCCCACACAGCUGCCUUACAACGAGAAGUGGGAGUUCCCCCGGAACAACCUGCAGUUUGGUGAGAUGGCAGCUCAGCACUCCACACCUUCCUAUCACAAGGCCUGUGGGGGUUGCAGGGGGCCCAUGCGCCCUUGGACAGAGGCCCUUUGGUGCCCAGGGACCUAAGGGACCUGUGUGUGUGGCAGGUAAGACCCUCGGAGCUGGCGCCUUUGGGAAGGUGGUGGAGGCCACGGCCUUUGGUCUGGGCAAAGAGGAUGCUGUCCUGAAGGUGGCUGUGAAGAUGCUGAAGUCCACGGCCCAUGCUGAUGAGAAGGAGGCCCUCAUGUCCGAGCUGAAGAUCAUGAGCCACCUGGGCCAGCACGAGAACAUCGUCAACCUUCUGGGAGCCUGCACCCAUGGAGGCCCUGUACUGGUCAUCACGGAGUACUGUUGCUAUGGCGACCUGCUCAACUUUCUGCGAAGGAAGGCUGAGGCCAUGCUGGGACC